GUAUUAUUUCAAGGGGAAAUUGCUUUGCAAAAUUGGUAUAUUAGGCAAAGUUGCAAACCACCAUGUGUAUUUUAGUACAAAUUGAUGCAGGUAACCUGGCGAAUUUUCAUGAUAACUUUUUAAAAUUGCAAACUGAUGUGGAAAUGUGGAGAACUGAUCUUAAUAUUCCGAAAGCAAGAAGAUGAAUGAAACUAUGACUGAGAGACUUGUGCAUCUCCAGAAGAAGAAAAAGCCCAUAGGUGCAGAGUUGGGAUUAUGUAUGUUUGAUUUUUGGUUACGUUUCAGAGCCAGCUAAGUCUGACAGCAGGAACCAGGAAAGAACAGCUUCCCUUGCAACAUUCCUCAUAACUGGGGAGUUCUUAAUAUUGUAUUGUCCAGUGUAUUUUAUAUGUGAUAUUACAAAAUAAUGGCUGGGUGUUAACAAAUUGUAUCUGCACAUUUUAAUACAGGAUUGUGGCACACUCAUUCAUCCUGAAGAACCCUGUGGCUUGCAACCUCUCUCUGCUGACUACCUGUCAGCCAUUUCAGAGCCGCAGUUGAAAACAUGUGAAACGGGAGACACAAAAGGACAAUGGAUUGUGCCCUGUCUGAGUUGUUCCGACAACAGAACCUGUGAUUGGAGGCAGAUAACAUGGCAGCCGCACGAUUGUCAAUAUCCCAUUGUGAACAAAACAGAGCUCCAACAAUGUGUAAAAA